rnacentral:rRNA from 1 species
UACGUAGGGUGCAAGCGUUGUCCGGAAUUAUUGGGCGUAAAGAGCUCGUAGGCGGUUCGUCGCGUCGGCUGUGAAAACCUGAGGCUCAACCUCAGGCCUGCAGUCGAUACGGGCGGACUUGAGUACUGCAGGGAGACUGGAAGUUCCUGGUGUAGCGGUGAAAUGCGCAGAUAGUCAGGAGGAACACCGGUGGCGAAGGCGGCCCGCUGGGCCAGCACUGACGCUGGAGGCGCGAAAGCUCGGGAGCGAACGGG